CCUACGGGAGGCAGCAGUGAGGAAUAUUGGUCAAUGGGCGGGAGCCUGAACCAGCCAAGUCGCGUGAGGGAAGACGUUCCUACGGAUUGUAAACCUCUUUUGCCGGGGAGCAACGGGGUCCUUGCGAGGGCCCGAUGAGAGUACCCGGAGAAAAAGCAUCGGCUAACACCGUGCCAGCAGCAGCGGUAAUACGGGGGAUGGGAGCGUUAUCCAGAGUUAUUGGUGUUAACGGGUGCGUAGGCGGGCUGUUAAGUCAGCGGUUAAAUGUCGGGGCUCAACCCCGACCUGCCGUUGAAACUGGCGGCAUCGAGUGGGCGAGAAGGAUGUGGAAGGCGUGGUGUAGCGGUGAAAUGCAUAGAUAUUACGCAGAACUCCGAUUGCGAAGGCAGCAUACCGGCGCCCGACUGACGCUGAGGCACGAAAGCGUGGGGAUCGAACAGGAUUAGAUACCCCGGUAGUC
rnacentral:rRNA from 1 species